rnacentral:rRNA from 1 species
GACGUAGGGCGCGAGCGUUGUCCGGAUUUAUUGGGCGUAAAGAGCUCGUAGGCGGCUUGUCGCGUCGUUCCGUGAAAACCUGCAGCUCAACUGCAGGCUUGCGGUCGAUACGGGCAGGCUAGAGUUCGGUAGGGGAGACGUGGAAUUCCUGGUGUAGCGGUGAAAUGCGCAGAUAUCAGGAGGAACACCGGUGGCGAAGGCGGGUCUCUGGGCCGAUACUGACGCUGAGGAGCGAAAGCGUGGGGAGCGAACAGG